rnacentral:rRNA from 1 species
UAGGAAUAUUCGUCAAUGGGGGAAACCCUGAACGAGCAAUGCCGCGUGAACGAUGAAGGCCCUCUGGAUUGUAAAGUUCCGUUGUUAUGGAAGAACUGUAAGAUUAGGAAUGAAUCUUACUUGACGGUACAUUUCAAGAAAGCCACGGCUAACUAC